rnacentral:rRNA from 1 species
CCCUUAGACGCUCUAGGCGGCACGCGCGCUACAAUGGGUGGUAGAACGUGUAACUGCUCCCGAAAGGGAGGGUGAACCACGAAUACUUACCCGUGAAUGGGAUAGUUUGUUGCAAUUUUCGGACUUGAACUAGGAAUCCCUUGUAAGAAUGCUCAAGAAUAGCGUGCUGAAUACGUCCCUGCCGUUUGUACACACCGCCCGUCGUUCCUACCGAUUGAGUGGUCCGGUGAGGCUUUGGGAUCUGAGCGGAAAGAGCGUUUCGCUGUUUCUGCUCGGAAAACUCAGUCGAACCUUAUCAUUUAGAGGAAGGAGAAGUCGUAACA